AUCGCUUCUCGGCCUUUUGGCUAAGAUCAAGUGUAAUAUCUGUUCUUAUCAGUUUAAUAUCUGAUACGCCCCCUAUCUGGGGGCCAUAUAUUAAAUGGAUUUUUAGAACAGGGAGAUGGAAGAAGAGCUUGCUCUGUCCACUCCACGCAUUGACCUGGUAUUGUAGUACCUCCAGGACCGGUGCAAAAAAA
rnacentral:snRNA from 1 species